UUCCUUUAAAUACGCGAUCAGUAGGUGAGAGGCGUUUCAAUUGUUUGGCGUGCUGGUGGUUGCCUGUCGCUGGAAGAGCAAUCAGUUGACUUUAGAUGUUUUCAUGCUGGUUAUUUUGAAUUGAAUGACUGGUAGAGAUUGAAUGACCGACACUGCAUAUUUCAAUCGAUUCUAGAUAUCUUAAAUUCUCAUGCUGGGUAUCUUGGGCUGGAUGAGUGGCAGACGCUGAACCAGUAGCACAGCAUACUGCACGUGAUCGUUGAUCUACGGAAGUAUAUGGUGAUGACUGUAGUUCUUGAAGGGUGUGUGUGAUCAGCUAAAGUUUCAAAGCUCAAUUGAUCACUGUUUUCCCUGCCUUGGAAUAUAUGUAUGUGUGUGUGUGUGUGUAUAUAUCGAGCCAGUUUUGAAGAGAAACUACUUGAUUUCUUGGUAAAUAAAAUUGAAACUGUUU